rnacentral:rRNA from 1 species
GAUUAAGUUAUUAAGGGCGCACGGUGGAUGCCUUGGCACUAGAAGCCGAUGAAGGACGUUACUAACGACGAUAUGCUUUGGGGAGCUGUAAGUAAGCUUUGAUCCAGAGAUUUCCGAAUGGGGAAACCCAGCAUGAGUUAUGUCAUGUUAUCGAUAUGUGAAUACAUAGCAUAUUAGAAGGCACACCCGGAGAACUGAAACAUCUUAGUACCCGGAGGAAGAGAAAGAAAAUUCGAUUCCCUUAGUAGCGGCGAGCGAAACGGGAAGAGCCCAAACCAACAAGCUUGCUUGUUGGGGUUGUAGGACACUCUAUACGGAGUUACAAAGGACGACAUUAGACGA